GAACUUAAGCAUAUCAAUGAGCGGAGGAAAAGAAACCAACAGGGAUUGCCUUAGUAACUGCGAGUGAAGCGGCAAAAGCUCAAAUUUGAAAUCUGGCGUCUUUGGCGUCCGAAUUGUAAUUUGGAGAGGCAACUUCGGAGAUGGUGCUGUCCUAAGUUCCUUGGAACAGGAUGACAUAGAGGGUGAGAUCCCCGUGCCUGGAUGGCUGUCCAUCUUCAUGUGAAUUGCCUUCGAAGAGUCGAGUUGUUUGGGAAUGCAGCUCAAAAUGGGUGGUAAAUUUCAUCUAAAGCUAAAUAUUGGCGAGAGACCGAUAGCGCACAAGUAGAGUGAUCGAAAGAUGAAAAGCACUUUGAAAAGAGAGUUAAAAAGUACGUGAAAUUGUUGAAAGGGAAGCGCUUGAGACCAGACUCGAUUCGUGGUGAUCAGCUGUGCUUCUGUACGGUGCACUCGCCAUGGAUUGGGCCAGCAUCGGUUCUGACGGUGGGAUAAAAGGUUGAGGAAUGUGUCUUCCUUCGGGGAGUGUUAUAGCCUCACUCACAAUGCCACCAGCUGGGACCGAGGACCGCGCUUCGGCUAGGAUGCUGGCGUAAUGGUCUUAAGCGACCCGUCUUGAAACACGGACCAAGGAGUCUAACAUCUAUGCGAGUGUUCGGGUGGAAAACCCUUGCGCGUAAUGAAAGUGAACGGAGGUGGGAACCCGCAAGGGUGCACCAUCGACCGAUCCCGAUGUCUUCGGAAGGAUUUGAGUAAGAGCAUAGCUGUUGGGACCCGAAA
rnacentral:rRNA from 1 species